AACGAACGCUGGCGGCAUGCCUAACACAUGCAAGUCGAACGAGACCUUCGGGUCUAGUGGCGCACGGGUGCGUAACGCGUGGGAACCUGCCCUUAGGUUCGGAAUAACUCCCCUUAAGGGGUGCUAAUACCGGAUAACGUCUUCUGACCAAAGAUUUGUCGCCUUUGGAUGGGCCCGCGUUGGAUUAGCUAGUUGGUAGGGUAAAAGCCUACCAAGGCGACGAUCCAUAGCUGGGCUGAGAGGAUGAUCAGCCACACUGGGACUGAGACACGGCCCAGACUCCUACGGGAGGCAGCAGUGGGGAAUAUUGGACAAUGGGCGAAAGCCUGAUCCAGCAAUGCCGCGUGAGUGAUGAAGGCCUUAGGGUUGUAAAGCUCUUUUACCCGGGAUGAUAAUGACAGUACCGGGAGAAUAAGCUCCGGCUAACUCCGUG
rnacentral:rRNA from 1 species